GAUGAACGCUGGCGGCGUGCCUAAUACAUGCAAGUCGAGCGAACAGACGAGGAGCUUGCUCCUCUGACGUUAGCGGCGGACGGGUGAGUAACACGUGGAUAACCUACCUAUAAGACUGGGAUAACUUCGGGAAACCGGAGCUAAUACCGGAUAAUAUAUUUAACCGCAUGGUUCAAUAGUGAAAGACGGUUUUGCUGUCACUUAUAGAUGGAUCCGCGCCGCAUUAGCUAGUUGGUAAGGUAACGGCUUACCAAGGCAACGAUGCGUAGCCGACCUGAGAGGGUGAUCGGCCACACUGGAACUGAGACACGGUCCAGACUCCUACGGGAGGCAGCAGUAGGGAAUCUUCCGCAAUGGGCGAAAGCCUGACGGAGCAACGCCGCGUGAGUGAUGAAGGUCUUCGGAUCGUAAAACUCUGUUAUUAGGGAAGAACAAAUGUGUAAGUAAAUAUGCACGUCUUGACGGUACCUAAUCAGAAAGUCACGGCUAACUACGUG
rnacentral:rRNA from 1 species